GAGGGAGCCAAGGCUUCCUCCGGGGACAUUGGCUCUCUGGAUUAUCAGGAGUUUGUGGCUGAUAUUGAAUCUAAGCUGAGGAUGGAAGGUGUGGAACUUAAGGAAGAAUGGCAAGAUGAAGAUUUUCCAGUACCUUUACCAGAGGAUGAUAGUAUGGAAGCAGAUAUACUAGUUGUAACUGGACCAGAGAGCCAGCCUGAAGUUAAUGGAAAUAAAGUAAGAAAGAAACUCACGGCUCCAGACCUUAGCCUGGCCCUGGAUCCUAGCGAUGGCUCUGUGCUGUCAGAUGAUUUGGAUGAAAGUGGGGAGAUUGACUUAGAUGGCUUAGACACGCCAUCAGAAAACAGUAAUGAAUAUGAGUGGGAAAAUGAUCUUCCAAAACCCAAAACUACUGAAAUUGUUAGGAAAGGCUCAAUUACUGAAUACACAGCAGCAGAGGAAAAAGAAGAUGGACGAUGCUGGCGUAUGUUCAGAAUUGGAGAACAGGACCACAGGGUCGAUAUGAAGGCAAUUGAACCCUAUAAAAAAGUUAUCAGCCGUGGAGGAUAUUAUGCGGAUGGAUUAAAUGCCAUUGUUGUGUUUGCUGUCUGUUUUGUGCCUGAAAGUGGUCAACCCAACUAUAGAUACCUGAUGGACAAUCUCUUUAAGUAUGUUAUUGGCACUUUGGAGCUGUUAGUAGCAGAAAACUACAUGAUAGUUUAUUUAAAUGGUGCUACAACUCAAAGAAAAAUGCCCAGUCUGGGAUGGCUCAGGAAAUGCUACCAGCAAAUUGAUAGAAGGUUAUGGAAAAACCUAAAAUCACUAAUCAUUGUACAUCCCUCAUGGUUUAUCAGAACGCUUCUAGCUGUCACAAGAUCCUUUAUUAGCUCAAAAUUCAGCCAAAAAAUUAGAUACGUCUUUUAUCUGGCAGAACUAACAGAACUUGUCCCCAUGGAAUAUGUUGGCAUACCAAAUGCAUAAAACAAGUUAAUCAAGAGCUUAAUGGAAAACAAGAUGAACCGAAAAGUGAACAGUAAGUUUGGCGUCUAGUCCGAACAAGACUGAAGAAUGUGC